GGAGCUGACAGGAGCUGCAGGAAAGGUAAGUAACAGCUCUCUGCCAGCCCCCAACAGGACCGCCGGGGUUGUAAUGAGCCCGGCGGUCCUGGUCUGUAUUAUGGCAAUGUAAGUUGCCAUAAAACAGACAGUGACUCGAGUAUAAGAUGAGUGGGGGUUUUUCAGCACAAAAAAUAUGCUGAAAAAGGCUUCAUACUCGAGUAUAUACGGUAUUAAAAUAUAUUUAUGAUGAAUUUUAUUUAUUGUUUUU